CACCGCGGUUAUACGAAAGACCCUAGUUGACAACUACGGCGUAAAGGGUGGUUAAGGAAUAUACAAAAUAAAGUCAAAGACCUUCUAAGCCGUCAUACGCACCCCGAAGGUACGAAGCCCCUACACGAAAGUAACUUUAAACACAAAAACCCCUGACCCCACGAAAACUAAGAAA
rnacentral:rRNA from 1 species